rnacentral:misc_RNA from 1 species
CAGCUGGUUUCAGGGGAGAUUAGUACUGUUCUGUAAUACAUCUCUAAUUCUAAUUAUUGCUCAAGGAUCUCUAAAACAUCUCUUUUUAAUUCAUGAUAGGGGGUACACCAUACACAACCAAACUAUCUAUAGAAGAACAGGGAUACCCAGUAAAUCGUAUACAAGCAUCAUAUUUUUCUGCACGAAGGUGGAGAAUUUACCAUCUUCUCAGAUCCUAUCAUGCAAUUAAUUUUGCUUCAUCAGUUUCAGGUAUUAUAAUGUCAAGCCUCAUCAUAGGCUUGUAUUUUUCAGGGAUUUGUGCACCUGCUUGCAUGCACAUUUCAACUACUGCUGGAGCUUUUCCAUAAAACUUUUUGAGUGCGCUCUUCAAUGGAGGCCCUUCGGGUUCUCUAACAUGCCACACAUAAUUAGGUGGGAUAACUUCCUCAACAGUAGCAUCCUGCCAACCAUGUUUUCCAUCCCUCCACUGGUGCUUGUAUUCCCCACAAAGCUUAACAUUGUGACCCCAAGGUCCCACAUGCACCUCUGAGCAAUAUCCACAUGCCUUCACAGUGUAUUUCCUCAUUAACUUCCUCACACCCCAUCUAACAAUUUCAUAUGCAUCAAUGGUUUCCUGUGCAAUCUUUGGUACAUAUUCCAACAAAGAAGGUGAAAAUCGUUCACAAGCCCUAUAUGUAUCAAAAUCAAUAAGGGUAGAUGGAUUUGCAGAACGCCAUGGCGUCGGCUCCUCAACAUAUCCACCUCUGUCUAUCACUUUCUUUCCAAGCAUUCUGAUUGGAUUAGUUCUUCUGCGAGAAGGAUAUUCUGGUAUAUCCACACCAGCUUGGAUGCAAAGUUCAACAACAGCUGGAAUCCUGUCAUAGUCAAACCGAGUUUCAUGCUUGAUGCG